rnacentral:hammerhead_ribozyme from 1 species
AUCUAGCUGACGAGUCCCAAACAGGACGGAACGCGCGUCCUGGAU